rnacentral:miRNA from 1 species
CACUCCACUGCUCAAUAACAUGUGCGCCAAUUUAUAUAUAUAUAUAUAUAUAUAUAUAUAUAUAUUAUUUUUUAAAAUUAUAUAUAUAUAUAUAUAUAUAUAUAAAUUGGCCGCACAUGUUAUUGAGCAGUGGCAUA